UACGUAGGCAGCGAACGUUGUUCGGAGUUACUGGGCGUAAAGGGUGUGUAGGCGGUUGUUUAAGUUUGGUGUGAAAUCUCCCGGCUCAACUGGGAGGGUGCGCCGAAUACUGAAUGACUUGGAGUGCGGGAGAGGAGAGUGGAAUUCCUGGUGUAGCGGUGAAAUGCGUAGAUAUCAGGAGGAACACCGGUGGUGUAGACGGCUCUCUGGACCGUAACUGACGCUGAGACACGAAAGCGUGGGUAGCAAACAGG
rnacentral:rRNA from 1 species